ACAGAGGGACUAUGUUUUGUAUAUGUUCAGAGUAUGCACAGGUUGAGUUAGUAGAUGACAGUAUGUAUGAGGAAAAGUUUUAAUUUUUAUGCAUGUUGUUGAUCAUGUAUGGGAUUAUACAGGUUUACAGGUUUUAUGUCAGACUUGCUACGGGUCCCGGCGGCCUUAAGUCGACCCGGAUCCUAGCGCCGGUAGCGGUCCGGAUUUCCGAGGCGUUACACCCUUCCCUUCUCAACCUUCCACCUAAAAUCUUUGGCUGUACAGUUUAUGUUCACAUUCCUAAAAC
rnacentral:lncRNA from 1 species